GUCUACAGUCAUUCCACCCUGAACACGCCCAAUCUCGUCUGAUCUCAGAAGCUAAGCAGGGUUGGGCCUGGUUAGUACUUGGAUGGGAGACAAUUAAAAUUAAGGUGGUAUUGUGUGGC
rnacentral:rRNA from 1 species